GAAUGUUAAAUUCAUCUCAUAAACGAAAGAACUAUUGAAAGGAGAGUAAACAUCUUAGGGGAAGCUAAAGCUACUCGGUUUGAAUAUUUCCUUUGAACGGUUUGAUAAGUGGCCUCUGAACUCUGAAAGCCCGAUCGACUUCAACAGAAUAUGAAGUAACUUCAGCGACAUGAUCCAUCGUACGCAGCUUCGACCGAACCGUCUUUCGGGAAAAGCUUUACAGCGCAGGCGUCGACCGGAAAAUUGAAGUGAGACGGAAACAAAAAACUUAAACAAGAGACAGAGAUGGAGAUAUAUGAAAUAAAUGCAUACAACUCACUCGAUUUGUUGUCACGGCACGUUCGAAUAUUUAAAAAGACUAUAAUUAUUUAGAUGAUGUAUCUGAUUCUGAGUUCAAUGACCCGUGUAUAUAAGGAGAUAUCAAGAUAUUGUCUCGUGAGUUUCUUCAUUGGGUUCUAGUGACAGACAACUCUUACUUUCUGCUCUGAGAUGGGAGCAUCCUGAACGGUUUAAGUUCAGAUUAAAACAUCGAGAGACAUUUGAAGACAGCGUGAUAACCGCUCGGACAUGAAGCGGAAAAAAUAUAAAACUCUUAAAAUACAAUUUGAACGACAGUGUGUAUUAAUGUAUGUGUGUGUCUGUGUUUGUUGCUCACUGUAGAUGCUAACCGUCAAUGUAUCGGGUGUUAUCGCAGCGUCCUCAAAGUUUUCCACAAUAAACAACAUUGUUACGCUGCAGUAACCUUGACACGUGAACUAUGCAGAUUUGUUCAACCGACAAUUCUUUUAUUAGUGUAAAUUGCCUCUUUAUUGUCACCGACGAUCGGUAUGGUCUCGGCCACGAG